UGGGGAAUCUUGCGCAAUGGACGAAAGUCUGACGCAGCCACGCCGCGUGAGUGAAGAAGGCCUUCGGGUUGUAAAGCUCUGUCAAGUGGGACAAAAACCAUGUGAGUUAAUAGCUCAUGUGCUUGAUGGUACCACUGGAGGAAGCACCGGCUAACUUCGUGCCAGCAGCCGCGGUAAUACGAAGGGUGCAAGCGUUGCUCGGAAUUAUUGGGCGUAAAGGGCAGGUAGGUGGUCUCGUUUGUCUGGAGUGAAAUCCCUGGGCUCAACCCAGGAAGUGCUUUGGAAACGGCGAGACUAGAGUUCUAGAGGGGUCCGUGGAAUUCUCGGUGUAGCGGUGAAAUGCGUAGAGAUCGAGAGGAACACCAGAGGCGAAGGCGGCGGACUGGAUAGAUACUGACAC
rnacentral:rRNA from 1 species